AUGAUGGGCCUGUAUCUCAGUUCUAGCUCCAAACACAGGAAGAUGAGAUCUGAGGACCUGCUUGAUGCUGACUGGGCACAUUUGAGGAUAAGUCCUGAGCUGAAGAAGCCAAGCACUUGUAAAAGCUGCAAUGUAUUUGCCAAGUCUAAUAUUUUCAAAUUCCUCCCGCAAAGUAAUGUCAACAGCAGUACUGUAUCCUCUCUGAGGUCUCAACACCAACAGGAACCCCUACUGUCUGGAUUUUUGCUUCUGCAACAGGAUUUCACACAGGCAUCCUCUAUAGAGGUGGAGUAA
rnacentral:lncRNA from 1 species